CGCGUAGGUGGCCCUCUAAGUCAGACGUGAAAUCCCCGGGCUCAACCCGGGAACUGCGUCUGAUACUGGAGGGCUUGAAUUCGGGAGAGGGAUGUGGAAUUCCAGGUGUAGCGGUGAAAUGCGUAGAUAUCUGGAGGAACACCGGUGGCGAAGGCGACAUCCUGGACCGAUAUUGACGCUGAGGCGCGAAAGCCAGGGGAGCAAACG
rnacentral:rRNA from 1 species